UAGACUUGAUUUCUUGUGGGUAUUGCCCAAGGAUCAGUGGGAAAAGGUAGUGUGUAUGUGAAUGUUGAUGCUUGUUGGAGGCUUGUUGGUGAUCAAGCUUGGUUUGGGGCUGUUUGAUUGAGUUUGGAGGGGCUGUAAUUUUGAGUUGUGAGGCUGCCUUGGGUGAAUUAAGUGAUCGGCCAAGAUGCAGGUCGAGAGGCUCCUCGCUAGACGUCUGGAUCUUGGGAAGCGAAGUAGUCCUUGGGUGUAUUUUGGUUUUUUGGUUUAUAUAUGUAUAUAUUUGUUUAGCUUACUCUCCAAGUAACUUGUGUAUGCUGCUCC